rnacentral:lncRNA from 1 species
GGUAAUUCGAUUCUUGAUCUUGGUCAAGAGUUAGAAUCCUACUUGCCCAUGACCGACCAAAAAGUGCGUAAUAUAAACACAUCUCCUGUUGUGUUGUAGUUGUGAUGUUUAGGAAAUGAAGCUAAAAAUAUUAAAAAAUUCAUAAAAGAUACCAGGUAAAAAAAGGGAAAGACAGCCGUCAUUCUUGAUUGUAACACAAAAUUUGUCCAUAAAUAAGCAAAUUUGUCUAUAAAGAAGCAAUUAUAAGAAGGUGAGUGGGCAGAAAAGAAUUGCUCACAAAAUUUUUUCCGGCACUAGGCCCUACAGACAGGAGGAAUCAAGAAAAAAGAGGGAAAAAUGCCCUGUCUUGAUAUCUCAACCAACGUUAACCUCGAAGGAAUCAAUACAGAUUCAAUCUUCUCUGAACUCACAAAGGCUGUUUCUCAAAUCAUCGGCAAACCCGAAAAAGUAAGUUCUCUCUCAAUUCAAUCUCUUUGUUCAGUGUCUACUGUUGGAUUAGUGUUGUAUAAAUAUGGGUUAGGCCAUGUAAUGGUGCUUGUAAUGAAAAUUUAUCUGGAUUAUACUUGUAAUAUGAGUUUAUAUACUGUGGUUAGAGUAUAUUGCUCAAAUCCGAAGAGCUGUUUUUGCUAAAACUCAAGUAGUUUGUUCAAAGCACGAAGCUUCUAAGAUAUUAAGCAUUGGUGGUUUAGUUUUGGGAGUUGGAAAUGAAUUUUUCUUGAUUAAGCUCAUAUUCUGAAUUUAAAUUACUGUGGUUUAAGUAUUCUUCUAGAACCUCGAGAGCUGGUUUUGCCAAAACUCAGAGCUUUUAAGCUGGGGAAUCACUGUCCAAUAAUAACAAAGGGAUUGACUCAUUAUUCAUCCUAAUUCAACUAACAUUUUAAAUCACCCAAUCAUCAAAGGUUCGUUCUUUCUCCAUUACCAGUCCUUCCUUGAAAACAAGGUAAAGGAGUAUGAUUUUCCUCUCCGUUCGAUCCAUUAGCACAAGUUAGAGGUUCGAGUUUUCCGAACCCCUUGAUAAAAAUCAUGCACGUUUCAACAUAAAUUAGGCAAUAUAUCCCACCUGCACGCUUCUCGACGGGAUGGUUCAAAGUAUUUAAUCCUCUAUACAACUCUAUGCAUAUUUGCAAGUCUCCAGUGUCCACAAGUUUCUUUUCUCAGAUAAUGAUGGAAACAUUUUUUUAGAUAUAUUAAAUUCAAAAGUUUUACGGGCAUUUGGAAUUUUAUAUUGAUAUAUUUUAUUUCUAUAUACCUAACUAACUUAAAUGAGUGCUCCAUUAAAUAAGAAGGGGCCAUUGCAUUGACACCCUAUAUUAGCCAAAUGGGAGGACAAUAGGAUAACAACGAACUGGUGCAAAAUUUAGUUGAAUAGUUCUAAUGCAAGGAAAUUUAUCAAAUGAAUUGCCUACUUUGUCAGCAAGUCUAUUGGCAUGGAACCAAAAACAGGAUUGAGUAGUCAAAUCAGUUUGGACCAUUGUAUGAUUACACGGUUUUAGCUUUAAGUGAAACGGUGUUAAGAAAAAACAAAAGCGGUGAGUUCAAUUCGUGCAACUUCCUGUUUAUUUGAAGGGUUUUGCUGGUAUACACUCCCCUCGCAAAGGGAGGCCACGCUAUUUUUAUUAGACGUGGGCCCCUCUCUUAUAAGGGGAGUGUAUAUCGGAGUGUACAAAUAGCAUUGUUCUUAUGUAAAAUUCUUGUAUCAACUUAAUUUCUUGUUACUCUAAUGACUUAGUCUUUGUGUGGUUUAGAUAAAAAUCACAUUUUUAGUGGAUUUUGAUAAAAUUUGAUGGAAUGUAUGGUUGAAAGUUGUGGGUAUGUGAAAUACGUAAUUAAAAUUAAUUGUUGACUUCGACCUUAAAUUUUAAUAGGUUUUUUAGUUGAACCAAACAAGAACUUAAUCUUUUAGAUGAAUGGUUGUUAAAUAAGUUAAGACUCAAGAUUACAUUUAUAGUUUCAUGUAGGGAUAUCUCUUUGAGGGACUAUCUUGAAAUUUGGUAAGUUUCUUCUAUUUUUGAGGGGAGUUUGGUAGGAGAACCACGUCAUACAAGCAAUGCUCUUUUUCGAAGUCGACAGUUUUUAUUAAAAAAAAAUAAAAGAUAAUGCUUCAAAUUGUUAAAGCACGUUUUAAUCUAAAUUUUCAAUAAACACUAAAGAAAUGCGGGCUGCAAUCAGUCAAGAAUAGCCUACCACACCGUUUAAAGGAAUUUGACACUUCCUACUAAUCCAGCUCUUAGUUAGUCUUGCUCCUUCAACUGCUUGUCUCUAAAACCGAGGGCCAUAGAACACCCGUGCAGGAUUGUUUGUGACUUACACACUCUGAUACUUGAAUUAGGAAUCGAAGUUGAAUCAACGUUGUGGAGUAAAAGUGCACAAGGAAAGUCUAUUUUCAAUUCUGUACUGUAUUUUAUGCAACUAAGAUCAGAGUGCCUAAGCCGGGUCGAGCUGAUAGUGAUUCUAACUCGAGUGCUUGAAGCAAGCAGACGAUGACAUUUCCUUGAGCACAAACAAAUCCCCAACAAGCCAUCUACGCUUUCCUUUUAUAGUUUAUUCUCUUAUAUGUGCUAUCCAAGGGUGUUCUGGAAAAUUAGGGCAUUUUUUU